GAUGAACGCUGGCGGCGUGCUUAACACAUGCAAGUCGAACGAUGAACCUCACUUGUGGGGGGAUUAGUGGCGAACGGGUGAGUAACACGUGAGUAACCUGCCCUUGACUCUGGGAUAAGCCUGGGAAACUGGGUCUAAUACCGGAUAUGACUUGUCACCGCAUGGUGGUGGGUGGAAAGCUUUUGUGGGUUUUGGAUGGACUCGCGGCCUAUCAGCUUGUUGGUGGGGUAAUGGCCUACAAGGCGACGACGGGUAGCCGGCCUGAGAGGGUGACCGGCCACACUGGGACUGAGACACGGCCCAGACUCCUACGGGAGGCAGCAGUGGGGAAUAUUGCACAAUGGGCGCAAGCCUGAUGCAGCGACGCCGCGUGAGGGAUGAAGGCCU
rnacentral:rRNA from 1 species